GAAGAUUCGUGGUGUAGAGCUGAGAUAUUCUGCUGAUUUGCCAUGCAUCAAUGUUGGGAAACCAAAGCGGCCUACCUUUAUUCCCAUAGAGCUCCGCGGUUUGGUGUCAUUGCGAAGGUACACCAAGGCAUUGUCUUCACUUCAGAGAUCUUCACUUGUGGAAAAAUCUUGACAGAAACCUCAAGAAAGAAUGAGUGUUCUCAGUGAGGCCUUGAAAUACAAUAACUAUGAUGCUGAUCCCAUGUUGUGUGCUUGUGGAGUUUCAAUAGCCACACAAUUUACGCAAAUUGAUGGACGUGUCUUAUCAGCUCCUAGGAAAGAAUUAUUUUGGGCAGUUGAAGGUUGGUAAUGGUGAAGAUUUUUUCCCAAGAUACGGACGAUGUAUUUGAAACUAAUUGAGCCAUGGACUGUCGAUCGCUGGGCAGUUGUAAACUUUUCUGCUCGUUGUGAUGUACGAGGGCUGAUAAGAGAUCUGAUCGAGUGUGGGAAUAUGAAGGGAAUUACUAUAGAGCAGCCAUUUGAUGUAUUUGAUGAGAACCCUUCUAUGAGGUGUGGUACACCCAUUGCUAGAGUAGAAGAUAUGUUUGAGCAGGUUAAGUCCAAGCUUCCAGGUGCUCCCAGAUUUCUCCUCUCUCUCCUUGCAGAGAGAGAAUUCUGACAUUUACGGUUUGAUUUCCUUCUACCACUCUUCUGCUACACUCUACAUAUAAUGUUGGAAGUACGGUAUUAUCAUCUUCACAACCCCUUUCCUGGACCUUGGAAGCGAAAAUGUCUUGCUGACUUUGGCAUUGUUACUCAGUGCAUGGCCCCAACAAGAGUCGAUGACCAAUACAUAACAAAUGUGCUUUUGAAAAUCAAUGCCGAGCUUGGUGGCAUGAAUUCAUUUCUGCAAGUUGAACAGUCACCUUCGAUGCCUUUGAUUUCCAAUAGUCCAAUGAUUAUACUGGGGAUGGAUGUAUCUCAUGGCUCUCCUGGGCAAUCAGAUGCUCCAUCAAUUGCUGCGGUAUUUUUAUAAAUGGUUAUAUAUUUUACGUCUUUGGAAGCUCAAUUCCUAGAUAUUUUACUGUAUGGAUGUGGAUUUCUUCUGAAGUCUUGUUUGUGAUUUUUUCCACUUGGUGUUUUAUUCUUGUUCUUUA